AGGGACGCGGAGAACGACUCUGGCCAGGCAUGGAUCCCAGCUCCUUGGGGGAUUUCAUCCGGCCCACCGGGCCGCAGGAUGGCUGGUCGAGGAAGACCCCUUCACUCUUUUCCAAAAGGCCCCAACUUCAGUCCGAGACUUCCCUUUCUCUGGAGCAUGAAGACAAGGAGGGAGGCAAUCCCUCUCAGUGAUGGACCUGGGCAUCGAUUAAAUUCCCUUAGGGGGCAGAAGUGUUGGAAAAAAAUGCGUGGCAAAAUGGGAGGGACUUUACUUGUAAAUACUGUUAAUUUCACCUAUUCUCUGUGGAUGAAGUACGAAAAUCAGAGGAUACUUUUCUUGAAAGUAAAUCUAAGACAGUGAGCUGCAUCCUUGCGUGUUUGUUUCCACGCAAACAGGAGGCAGAGACUGCUAAUUCCCUCCCCCUGUCCUUGGUUGGAGAAUUUCAGUUGUAGUCUACCAGUCCAUGGACUCCGCCAAAAGACUACAGCUCUCAGUUUCCCCCGCAACUGGGUGUGACCACCUGCCUAGGUCCUGGCCAAUGAGGUAUAAACUGAGGCGUAUCUCAGAGGCUUCCUAAGUGAGUUGACUGAUGGGCUACACCCUUUCCGCCACGUGAGAUUUCUUCCCUCUUUUGGCCUGCGUGCAGGACACCGUGGCCGAAGUGACAGCAUCUAUCCUGGGCCAUUGAGGCUGGAAAACACAUGUUAGGUAGAUAAAGCAGGACACCGGGGUCUGGGCCCCUGAAGACCAUGGAAUCACCAAACCAGUCCUUCCUUUGAACUUUUGCAUGAUAGUGAAAUAAAUAAUGUCUAUCUUAUUUAA